CCUACGGGAGGCAGCAGUGAGGAAUAUUGGUCAAUGGGCGUAAGCCUGAACCAGCCAAGUCGCGUGAGGGAUGAAGGUUCUAUGGAUCGUAAACCUCUUUUAUAAGGGAAUAAAGUGCGGGACGUGUCCCGUUUUGUAUGUACCUUAUGAAUAAGGAUCGGCUAACUCCGUGCCAGCAGCCGCGGUAAU
rnacentral:rRNA from 1 species